rnacentral:rRNA from 1 species
UGGUUUCUCGCUCGCUGGUGACUGAGAAGGCAGAAGGAGUGGUUGUUAAUUUUAAUUUGUUGCGGCCUCGCCUCGCCUCUCCCCUUUGCUUUCUUUUUAGACCGGAACGGAACGAGGAGGCCGGCCCGCUAAGGCGAGGCCGCGGCGGUCCACGAAGCGAAGAACGGAACGAGGCCAGGAAGCGGCAGCAGGCAGGCAGGUUCCGAGGUUCUUUCGCUCCGCGGUAAGGACCCGAGGCGGCGAGCUAAAGGAGUGGGUGCGGUGCGGUGCGGUCCGGUCCUGUCCAGUUCAGUUCACGAUAUAGUCCCUGUUAAAGUUCACAACUUCCAGUGGUGAUCGGGUAACCGAGCUACCCGCAGCUCCUCGUUCUACACGUCGUUGGCCUGCCGCCACCUUUCGGACUAUGGCGGCGGUUCAGUGGUUGAGGCCUUGUGCCAGUCGUUUUUGGCUCGUUGGGGGCACAUAGUUGGACGUCGUGACUGUUCCUGCUACCGGAGCGAGAGACGGCCCACACGGUGACGCACCUCGGACUAGACUCUCCGCUCAGACGUGACCCAAAGAAUCCGUAGCAUGGCGGAAGAGGUCUGUGGAGCCGGCUGUUCCUGGGUUCGUUACUGUGGUGGUUUUGAAGGUGGUCGUUCCUACGAGGGUGUAAAGAACUCAAGUAUUCGGGGCUCCCCCUUUAGAAGUUCACACGGUGGCUGUAGCUUAGUCCGGUAAACGUUGCCGUUCUGCUGUAGCACUUGGAGCCUACGAGAACGUUCUUGCUCGACCGGGAGCGUGUGAUGCGCACGCGCGAGUUCACCAAGUAGUCGGUGCCCAGGUGGCACACGCUCUAAACGCCUUUGCAGCGGUGUUUGCACUCCGGGCUCCUAAAGUUGUACCACGAACGCAGGAACUUCCUGAUGCUUCGAGACUCCCUUUCCUGCAGGUGGCCCCUAGACAGGAUGAACGUGAUGGCCCGCCUGCGCAAGCAGCUAGGCCAGCGGGAGCGCCGUCAUGCCUCUGUCGCCGAUACGCUCUAUAGUAGUACCAAGUUGGGAGUGUUAUGUGUAAAGCACAAAAGACUCUCCGUGUUGCUUCUUCACGGUCAGUCGGGUUCAUUAUUAAGACAUCUGAUAUCACAAUGCCGACGCUCCCGUCGUGUACGCUCCGCCUUCAAGCCCUCAUCACCUCGAAAACAACGAUAGCGGGACCCAAAACAAGAAGAACGUACCAAACAACGAGGUGUACAACCGUUCUCUCGACGACGCUAGUAAGAAGUAUACGAAGACCCUCCGGAGACGAGUGACUGAUAUUAUUAGAGUGAUUCUAAACAGAAGGGCUCUUAGGUCAAACCCAGCUAUGCUACGACCCGCUAGGACAAGCACAGGACCAAGGAGCAGAAGCCUCACACCCGGAGCGCUUGGGCGUGGCGGGCGGCGCGAAGUACUACUAUAGCUCGCACGGGAGUCACUCAACAGCACUCCUUAAUCCUGGCGCGCAGCGUUCUCAUCGCAGGUGCUGUCGCAAUCGAUGACGUGGGGGCAGAUAUAAGCGGCGAUCGAUAUCGAUAUGGUACCUGCAUGAUAAUAAAAAAACAUCGACCUCAAACAUUCUACAUGAUCUACAAACCCGUUCUUUUGUACCCCUCGAUACAAUGGCUCACAACACCCUUCGACGAAAACCAAAGUCUGUACCGACCACAUCAUGACCCGACCGGUCACAACGAUUUGUUAUGUCAUUACAUAUAUAAUAUAAAUCGACAAAAAGAACUAACUUUUGUAAGUAUCGACCACCUAGAAAGAAGUGGUCUUAUUCACUAGGCUUACUUCGACCCGGAAAAAAUAUACCAGAUUCCCCGACAAACCAAAGGGACCCUAGACGGAGACCAGACAAGACAAACCAAACACAGGACUGCCAAAGUUGCGACCGGACCGGACCGAACUUCUUCUACUCUUGUAGUAAUCGGUUUGUCGGGCUCUGCAAGGACAGCCGAUGCUCCGCAGAAACUGCUGAAACAUUUUAGAAUUCUACUAUACAGCUGGAUCGGAAAACUUUCACGAGUAUCCCCCAUCCUACACGGAAUAUACCGACUCACAUGCGCACACAUAUAUUCGCAAACGCAAACAUGACACAAAUCUUUUCUUUUCAGUUUCCUUGUCGGACUAAACAA